rnacentral:rRNA from 1 species
ACUUUGAACGGAUCUGUGUAGGAUAGGUGGGAGGCUUUGAAGCCAGGACGCUAGUUCUGGUGGAGCCGACGUUGAAAUACCACCCUGGUGCGUUUGAGGUUCUAACCUAGGUCCAUUAUCUGGAUCGGGGACAGUGCAUGGUAGGCAGUUUGACUGGGGCGGUCUCCUCCCAAAGCGUAACGGAGGAGUUCGAAGGUACGCUAGGUACGGUCGGACAUCGUGCUAAUAGUGCAAUGGCAUAAGCGUGCUUAACUGCGAGACUGACAAGUCGAGCAGAUGCGAAAGCAGGACAUAGUGAUCCGGUGGUUCUGUAUGGAAGGGCCAUCGCUCAACGGAUAAAAGGUACUCUGGGGAUAACAGGCUGAUACCGCCCAAGAGUUCAUAUCGACGGCGGUGUUUGGCACCUCGAUGUCGGCUCAUCUCAUCCUGGGGCUGUAGUCGGUCCCAAGGGUAUGGCUGUUCGCCAUUUAAAGAGGUACGUGAGCUGGGUUUAAAACGUCGUGAGACAGUUUUGUCCCUAUCUUCCGUGGGCGCUGCAGAUUUGAGGAAGCCUGCUCCUAGUACGAGAGGACCGGAGUGGACACACCUCUGGUGUACCUGUUGUCACGCCAGUGGCAUCGCAGGGUAGCUACGUGUGGAAGAGAUAACCGCUGAAAGCAUCUAAGCGGGAAACUCGUUUCAAGAUAAGAUCUGCCGGGGCCUUGAGCCCCCUGAAGGGUCGUUGUAGACCACGACGUUGAUAGGCUGGGUGUGGAAGCGCAGUAAUGCGUUAAGCUAACCAGUACUAAUUGCCCGUGAGGCUUGACCCU